GAGGAAAGUCCGGGCUCCACAGGGCAGGAUGGUCCUUAACGGGGACCGGGGGCGACCUUAGGGAUAGUGCCACAGAGAGAAGACCGCCCGCCAUCGUUUUUGCGAUGGCAGGUAAGGGUGAAAGGGUGAGGUAAGAGCUCACCAGUGUCGGCGGUGACGUCGGCAGCUAGGUAAACCCCAUCCGGAGCAAGGCCAAAUAGGGGAGUGCUUGAGGACGGCCCGUCCGAAGCUCCCGGGUCAGGCUGCUUGAGGCCGUCGGCAACGGCGGUCCUAGAGGAAUGAUCGUCACUCUGCAGGGGGUAACCGCUACAGAGGACAGAACCCGGCUUAC
rnacentral:RNase_P_RNA from 1 species